AGGCAGAUGGCCAUUGCUUUUCUGAACAGCAGUUGGAAGUAUUCUGAGGUCAUUGGCACUGCUGUAUCACAACAUCAUUUGCUGGCAUGUACAUCUAGGAUGCGAUCUAUCCAGAUGAGAUUCUCUCCAAUGCCAGCAAACCGACAGUGGAAGAAACGAGCCAGCACUUCUCCCCUCACAUUGCCUCAGGCU